rnacentral:lncRNA from 1 species
AUGUCUCACUCUUAUCCCUUACUGCGUUUUUUAUCUCUUUUUCUUUAUUUCCCUCUCUCCUUGCUUCUCUCUCUCUCUCUCUCUCUAGCUGUUGCCUUAGCUCUUGGGGUAACAGCAGUAGUUGCCAUUUUCCUGAGCGGACUGGUCUUUGCCGCUCACAAAAAGGCCAAGAUUAUGGAGAUGGUGCACAGCGUCAACAUACCAACUCUCACUAUGCCCAACUUCAGGAGGUCGGCUCCUAGUCGGUUUGGUGAGGAGGGAGAGGAGCCACGCUCAGGCCCCAAAGUGGUCAGUGUCUCCAUUGUUAGCAAUAAACACAUUGACCGAGUAAGCUAUUGACAUUGACUAAGCAAAUCUGCAUUAGGGCUUAGCAACCUGUUAUCCAGUUAAUCAGAACCAAGCAACACCACCCAACAUCCAUAGAGUCAGUUAGCACUAAGAACCACCCUAUCCAGUUAGUCAGCGCUAAGCAAAACCGCAUCCACAUAAUAGGUUAGCUAUUAGCAACACUGCAUCCACAUAAUAGGUUAGCUAUUAGCAACACCGCAUCCACAUAAUAGGUUAGCUCUUAGCAACACUGCAUCCACAUAGUCAGCACUAGGCAACAAGGCAUCCACAUAAUUAUCCACAUAAAAAUACAGUUAAUUCCAAGAAACAUUGUAUCCACAUAAUCAGUCGGUACUAGGCAACCAUAGCAGCUUUGAUCCUCUAACCACUUUUCUACACCUCACCUCUCCCUCUCAUCCCAAACCCGCCACAGGAGCCUUGCGCCACUGUUGAAGUGGGUGACAUGGGGAAAAAUUUUGAGAAUCCUGCCUACCAUUCGGAGAAUGAAGGUGGAAGCUCCGCCCCUAGUGCUGUUGCCACGGCGAUCCCCACCUACAGCCUUCCCCAGGCAUGCGUGUGAAAUGUUUCUAAUGCUACAGUACACCAUGAUGGCACAUGCUGCCUUUAUCAUGUGAUUCUUUCGAUAAUAAUUGUAAGAAUUAGUGAUUUGCCAAUGAGCCAUAAUUGAUUUAUUUUUUAUGUCUAGGAUAACAUUGAGAAUCCAGUCUACGCCACUGACACCAACAUAGUUGCUGAGCUGACAUCACCUGACAGUUUGUCUGCCAUGCCUGCCAACGGCAGUGCCAUACAUGCCAACGGCAAAGCAGUCCCUGUCAAGACAUUGUCUACUGAGGUAGGGAUUCAUACACGACAGAUAUGACAGUUGGGAGUCAAUACAUUUUAUAAAAAAGUGUAAAUGCAUUAAAGUGUAUUCAAAUGUAAAUUCAUUAAAGUGAAUAUUCAUCACAUUUACUGGUGUGUUUUCCAGCCUGCCUUUGAGAACCCAGCUUAC